CGCGGGAGUCUUGGUUUGUGGUGGCUUCGGUUAGGUAUCUGUGGCCGCCGUGUCCUUUGACGCUCCGUUUUUCAGAGUCCUUUCGGCCGUUUGAGGCGAAAUGCCUCCGGGCUAGAGAGCGGCAGGCGAUGGCAGUGGAGGGGUCCCCGCGACCUCAGGCUGCCGGUGGGGAGGGAUAUUGAGGGGCCUCACAGUCGCUUGAGCCGGCGCUUUCUUCCUUUGAAGUCACCCAGCCUACCGUGAGGAUGAGCUCUGCUUGGGGCGCUUCUUUUGAGAGGCAGCAUCUCUGGAUGUAUCUGCAGGCGCUCGGCUUCGAGCCGGGCCCCGCUACCAUCGCCUGCGGAAAGAUCGUGUCACACACGCACCUCGGAGUGAAUAUGUUUGAUAAGCUGAACCGUGAUGCCUUUCAAAUAGUUUCUUAUUUUUUGUUUCAAACCCUGGAUCAGUCACUCACCAAAGAAGUUUUUAAAUUUUGCUGGCCUCCAUUUGACCAAAAAAGUGACACUGAAUUCCGGAAACACUGCUGUGAAUGGUUAAAAAAGAUUUCUGCUGAAUGUGGAAAUAACUUUCCUCAAGUUGUUGGUUCACUGUUUCUGUCUCCUGGUGGUCCUAAGUUUAUUCAUCUGAUGUAUCAUUUUGCAAGAUUUGUUGCUUUAAAGUAUAUUAAAACCAAUUCUAAAAAUUCUUCUCUACAUUUUACAGAAACAUUUAAUGUAAAACCACAAGAUAUGCACAAGUGCAUUGCCAGAUGGCAUGUUUCACGUAACAGAUUUUUACAAAUUUUGCAAAGAGAAGAUUGUGUUAUCCAACAAUAUCAGGAAAAUGCACAAUUAUCAGUUAAGCAAAUACGCAAUUUGAGAUCAGAAUGUAUAGGACUGCAAAACCAAAUAAAAAAAAUGGAGCCCUGUGAUGAUGACAGUAACAUACAAGAGAAAAUUAAAAAGGUUCGGUCUUUGUGGACUUCAGUGAAUGAAACACUCCUAGUUUUGGAAAAAGAGAGAGAAGUUGUCAGUUCAGUCCUUAGUCUUGUUAAUCAAUAUGCUUUAGAUGGAACUAACGUCAUUAUUAAUAUUCCAAGGCUCUUGCUUGACAAAAUAGAGAAACAAGUGUGUCAGUUGCAUAUAGGAAAUGUUUAUGAGGCUGGAAAUUUGAACCUCUUAACAGUAAUUCAGUUGUUAAAUGAAGUCUUGAAAAUAAUGAAAUAUGAACGUUGUCAGACUGACCAAGCAAGAUUGACAAUAGACCUUCACUACCUUGAAAAAGAGACCAAGUUGCAGAGGGAAAGAUUGUCAGAUCUGAAGCAUAUGAGGUAUAAAAUAAAAGAUGAUCUCACAACUAUAAGACAUUCUGUUAUUAAAAAGCAAGGAGAAUGGUGUAAAAAAUGGGAAGAAUUUCUUGGUUUGUCUCCUUUCAGUCUAAUUAAAGAUUCAACACCAGCUGUGGAUCUUUUACCACCUAUGACUCCCCUUUCAUUUGAUCCUGUGUCAGAGGAAGUAUAUACAAGGAGUAUUCUUUUUCAGUAUCCUGCUUCACUUCCAGAUAUGCCUAAGCAACAUAAUGAAGAAAAGGAUUGCAAAGCAGACAUUGAUACCUUGGUAGCUGUGUGUGAUCUAGCCAACAGCCCUGCCUCUUUCCUAUUACAACCAACUUCAUCAUCAGAUAGAAACAGUAGCACAUUACUUGAAAAGGAUAUGGAGAUGAGAAUUCCCAAAGAGAAAAAUGAAACAGUAUCUAAGAAAAUACCAGAAUUUGAAGUGAAAGAUUCUUCAUUAUUAGAUACUGCGAAGACUACAGAGACUAGGGCACUUGAAGUGUCUCUGGCCCCCCCAAAAAGUGAUCCUUUCCAAAAAGAGCAAGAUCAUCUGGUAGAAGAGGUUGCCCGAGCAGUUUUAUCUGAUUCACCACAGCUCUCUGAAGGAAAAGAAGUAAAAUUAGAGGAACUAAUUGAUUCUCUAGUUUCUAACCCCUUCUUAACACGGAAACAAAUUCCCCGAACUCCAGAAAACUUAAUAACUGAAAUUAGGAGCUCAUGGAGAAAAGCAAUUGAAGUGGAAGAGAAUAGAAGUACAGAACCAAUUCAAGUGGAUACUGAACAUGGAGAAGUAUUGUCAGGAUCUUUACCUGUGUUGCAUAAUCAAGAAUUUAGCAUGGCUAGUUUUUUCUCAGAUUUUGACCAUUCUCAUUUGGCUGAAGAGAAAGUGUCAUGUUGCCUUAAGGAUAUGCCUCAGAAACAUGUGACCAGCCAUAAAGCUGAAUCCCCAGUAGAAGAUCAGUCAGAUUUGUUAAAUAAGAAAAUAAUUUGUAAGCAAGAUUUAGAAUGUACAGCUUUACCAACCAAGCUUUCAAAAACCAGCCAAAUAGAGAUAUUCUCCCCUACUGUGGGCAAUAGAAUAGAAGUGAAAGGUAGAAAUGAAGAGGAGUAUAUUAAAAUACUGGACUGCUCACAAGCUUCUUAUAAUGAACCUUCCACACAUAAAACUAUGUUAUGGAACUCUUUUCAGCUGUCAAGUGGAAUUAGUUCUAAGAGUCUUAAGGAUGCAGAUUUUGGCAUAUUACAUGAAACUCUUCCAGAAGAAGUUGGUCACCUAAGUCUUAAUAGUUCUAGUAGUUCAGAGGCCAAUUUUAAACUGGAACCGAAUAGUCCUGUGUACAGUGACAUUUUUCCAGAUGAUGUGGGAAGACAGACUACUUCAGAAUCAGACUUCAAUUUACAGGCUAGUAGUAGUAGUUAUGGGACUCUGAAGAAAUAUCUUUCCAAGAAAAGGGAAGAAUCUUACCUCUUUAAUCCUGAAGCUCUUGAAAGACACAAACCAGAAUCGAGCCCUUCACCCAAAAAUAUGGAAGCAGAUGAUAUGCUUAACUUUUUGGAUACUGACGAUUUGCUCAUUGACUAUACAAAACCAUCUUUACGCAUAUCCCUUGGUGAAAGAAAACGGUCUCUAUCACCACUAAUUAAGUUUUCUCCUGUGGAGCAAAAAUUGAAGAGCACAGUACCAUAUAGUCUUGGAGAACUUCUACCUAAUAUAAAAGAAAAAGAAAUCUUGAAUCAGAGCCUUGAUGUGAAGGAAUCUGACUUGUCAAAAUGAAGCAGUAUCCAGAUAAUUAUAACAAUGAUGCACUUAAAUUGAAGCUGUGUCACAAAAUAGAAACUGAUAUAUAACUUAAGUACAGGUUGGAAAUGUAACACUCUUUUUCAAGGUCUAAAAAAUCCUAAAUGCCUUUUAGCCUCUUAAGUGUUUUUAGGUAAGGAAAGUAUGUUUGAAUUUCUUUGUAGGAAUUAAGAUGAAAUGUGAAGUGUUUGGCAAGCAAAUGUCAAGUUAUGGAAAGCCAUUUUGAUUGCCUGAAUAAUCUUGUAAGCAUUAAGUGAAUGACAAAAGUAGUAAUUGAACUUAUUGUUAUAAUUUUGUUAAUUAACAUAAGGAGUAGUUUUUGAUGUAUUUGCAUUAGGUGGUUAAUAUAAUAGCUACUGAAUAUACUCAUCUCCCUUUUUAUAGAAGUGAACCACUUUUAUUGGUUCUUUAUGGAACAUUCUGGUACUCCCCCCCCCCAAAAAAAAAAAAAAAAAGUGAUAAAGGUAGUACCAUGAGAUGUGUAGUGGAGAUAACAAGUUUUAAGAUUUUGAAAGCUCUAAACAGGCUUCAUAAUUAUUCAAAUAGCUUGAUCCUGAGAAAUGAUGUGUGAUGGAAUCAGGUACAUAUGAUAAGUGAAGAAUGGGUAGAAUACAUUUAGGAAAAAGGGAAAAGAUGGAAGAAAAUGUCUGGACACUUAAGGAACACUUAAGUGGAUUAUAAAUCCAUUCACUGGGUUGUAUUUACAUUUAGUCUAAUUUAUAUUUUAGUCUAAUUUAGACUGAGAAUUUAGUGUUAGUUUAUAUUUUAACAAAAAUAUAAAUUAAAAAAUUUAUUAGUUUUAUUGUUGGUUUUUCUGGGGGGAGGGGAGGGAGAACUGUUUUUGUGCUAGUUUUGAGUAUUUUACUUUUCUGCUCAAAAAUCAUAAAAGUUCCCCAGUGCCUGCAAAAUAGUUCAAAAAUAACCUGAGAAACAGUACCUACAAAAUAGUUCCAAAAUAACCCGAGAAAACUGAACUUGUCUUUAAGUAACUGGUAACUCCAUUCAGUCUUCUGCCUCAUUGUAUCAGGUCACAUGACCUAGAAAUGAGCUUGUCUCUAGCCUCCAAGUGAAUAAAUGCCAUCAACUCAUGAACUAGAAGGAAUGGAACAGAUACUGGAAGGGUGAUCAUCUUCAGUACUAUCUGUAGAGUCCUUGCUCAUAACCAUCAAAAUUUUGUCCACCAGCUCCCAAGAAACUGACAGAAGAAAAGUUGGAGGGAAGAGUUCUGGAAGUAGAUAAUGGUACUGAAGCCAGGGAGCUUAAAUGACUUGUCUGAGAUGGAACUUGAAGACCAGCUGUGUUGGAAUCAUCUGAGAUACAUCUUAAAUAAUUCAGGUCUAAGAUAGGAAUUAGAAACUGCGAUUUAAAUAUGCUCCUGGUAAUUCACAGGUUCAGUAAAAAACUUGAGAACUUCUGCUAAGAGAUAGUAUUGUAUUUAUCUCUGAGGUACCUUUAAGAAUCAGGCACGCUUUUGUGUAUAUACUGCUGUAAAGAGAGCUAACUGAUCAGAAAGGUCCAGUUCAAUGAAGUGCAGGAGGUCCUUAGUUACUGAUAAUCAAAAGAUCAAAUGGUUCUGGAUGUUGUGAACUUCUAAAAAAAACAUUGAGUUUUACCUGUGAUAGGCUGAAAAUUUUUGACAUUCUUGUCCUUGCUGUGCCAAUACCAUAACAAAAUCUCAAAUCUUUCAUUUCUUUAAAAUCACUGUAUUUGCUUGCAACUUUUUGCCUUCAGCUUCUUCCCUAACUAGUUUCUCCUUUUGAUCAUGAGGAACUACUUUGGUUAUGUCAUUUCCUUGCUUAAGAGCCCAUUAAUAUUUCAUUGCUAAUUCUAUAAGAGUUUAAAUUUAAGGGCAUAUAAGAUUUCUUACAUAAAUUUCUUCUAGUUCUUGUUCCACUGUGAUUUCCCAUUCUUUACUGAAAUGCCUCAGUGAGCAUGGGUCUUUAGAAAUCUUGACUCAAUUCUGCGGCUGGAGUACCUACCUUCCCCUUCUACAGCUAUGUUGUAGCUAUUACAGCUAUACAGCUUAAGGUUCAGAACAAAUUUUCCACCUUGAAGGCUUAAUUUGUCCUUUCCAUAUCCACAUGCCUAUCCCUUCUCUGAAAUCUAUGGUUUAUCUUGUUAUUGGUUUAAUAUUUCAUUUAAUUGUAUAUUACCUUUUUCAUGGUUGUAUGUGCUCUCAUUAUAGCAAUUAUAUAUACACGUACAUACCUAUAUGUAUGUGUGUGGGGUGUAUUCAUCCACAGGCAUACAUAUACCCCAAGGACCAUGUGUCAUCAUUAGUAAAUGUUAAGUAUUAAAAUUGUUUGCCUAUUACACAAAGAAAUAAAAGUAAUGGUAAAGAGGGCUUAUGGCUAUAGUUGUAUUUUUUCUCAUUAUCAGUUUAUAGAAUGUGCCUGUUCACUUUUUGCAAGAUAUAAAGGUAUGUAAACUGACUUCACCAAGUUUAAACUUUAGAUAAUGUGAUAUGAUCUAAUUAUUAUUAUUAUUUUGUUUUGUGUGUGGAACUGGGGUUCAAACCCAGGGACUUGCACAUUGCUAACAAGCACUGUACCACUGAGCUAAACAAUUAGCCCCUAACUACUUUAAAUGUUUAAAGAGGACAAACAUGUAAAGUUGCUGAACAUGAAAAAGUUAUCACAGAAUAAAGAAAAAUUGAAGAGGGAUUUAGCUGAAAACAAAAACAAAGUAUUUUGAAACUUUUUCCUUAUCUAUAAAAUAUGAAGUCAGUUUUAUCUGAAGAAAAAAACAGGAAUUCUUCACUUAAAUGAAAACCUAUUUUUUCCUUACUCUGAAUGUACUAAAAUUAAAAAAAAUUACAGAUGUUUUCUUUAAUGUAGAAGUAUUUGCUAAAGUCAAAUCCUUUUGCACAAAAUUCAGCUACAUAGUUGCUCUAAAGAUAACCUUUUUCCUUAUGCACUGUAAACUGGCAAAUCCAUACCCUAAGAGUAUUUGUGAGUCUUGUAUGGGACUACUUGUAAAUAUAUCUAUACGUUGUUGUCUUUUAAUAAAUAUUCAGUAUUAUACCAUCUGUCUGGAAUUUC